rnacentral:sRNA from 1 species
AAUCAGCCCCGAUGGGAGUAAGUAUCCUUUUAUGCCAGGGUUCGGCAUAAAAGAUACUGCGGACAGCGGGAGAAAUG